rnacentral:tRNA from 1 species
GACAGUUUGUCCGAGUGGUUAAGGAGUCAGACUUGAAAUCUGAUGGGGUCUCCCCGCACAGGUUCAAAUCCUGUAGCUGUCG